GACGAACGCUGGCGGCGUGCUUAACACAUGCAAGUCGAACGGACAGGCCCUGCUCUUGCGGGGUGCUCGUGUGGCGAACGCGUGAGUAACACGCGAGUAAACCGCCCUUGUCUUUGUGAUAACUUCAGGAAACUGGGGCUCAUAUCGGAUAGGAGCUCUUGAUGCACGGUGGGGGUUGGAAAGUUUCGGCGGUUGGGGAUGGACUCGCGGCUUAUCAGCUUGUUGGUGGGGUAGUGGCUUACCAAGGUUUUGACGGGUAGCCGGCCUGAGAGGGUGACCGGCGACAAGGGUACUGAGAGAGGGACCAGACUCCUACGGGAGGCAGCAGGGGGGAAUAUUGCACAAUGAGCGGAAGCCUGAUGCAGCAACGCCGCGUGCGGAAUGACGGCCUUCGGGUUGUAAACCACUUUCGCCGGUGACGAAGCGUGAGUGACGGUAAUUGGUAAAGAAGCACCGGCUAACUACGUG
rnacentral:rRNA from 1 species